AAAAGAAGUCUCAUCUUCCUUUGACAUAGUUAACAAGGAGACCACUUAAGAUAUGAUCACUCAUUCUGCUUGUACCCUCAUCACACACUCCUUCUAUAUGAUUACUCUGAGAUCUAUGGUACAAGUCAUUGGCAGAGAAUGCAAGUACUGUGGACUUUGUGACUCCUUGGUAACCACCUAUUGGGUAGAGAGCAUCCUAGGAUUUUCCAUGGGUCUUGUUCCUUGCCUCCUGGGUGACAUAAUUUCUUUGUGGAUGUGUAACUCACUGGCCUACCUCAUCAAUACCUGGACAGGGUUUCUAUCAGGAAUGAAAUGAAGAGUUAUUCUCAAGCUGUCACAGGAUUUUUUUGCUAGUAUGUUGACCUACCUCUUUGUACUUGUCUCCAGUCUUAUGGCUUUCAGCCCCUGUGGUGUUGCUGGUGAAUGCCCUCCUUACUCUCCAAGAUAUUCUUCUUCGAUAGAUUAUUGGUGCAUGCUACACAAAAAGGGAAAUAUGAACCGAGGAAAUAGCUUGUUUUUCUGGAAGAUCCCUUUUGGGAAGACUUAUUCUUGCCUGACAAUGUUAAUUUGA
rnacentral:lncRNA from 10 species